rnacentral:lncRNA from 1 species
UUACAAAGCCCCAGGCAGCUCCAGGCAUUCGCGGUACUGGCAGCCAGCGGCCCAAAAGGAGAGACGAAAUUUUAGCAUCCAUAUCAACACCCUGGAAAGCCUGAUCGGCUACGCAUGGGCCAUGUGUCUUCCUCUGGACUGAUCACUGUGGCCCAGAAAGUGGGGUAUUCUGAUGGCACACCCUGGGUCACAAGUCCACCAGAUGCAGUAAGGCUUCUGGUUUCCUGUCCUGCUGGAGUGAUGAUGAUGGUGAUGCUGAUGACAAUUACAACAGUAAAGUGAUGAAUCUUUAUGGAGUAAAUCAGUGUUUAUGCAUGACGUCUCCUCUGAUCCCAACAACACGAUACGAGAUAGACAUCAAAUCCCCAUUUUCCAUGAAGACAAACAAUCUCAAGGUGGUGACUUCAGGUCACACAGCCAGUCUCGAUCCAUCUCAGUUGAACUUCUGGUGUGGUGUGAGGCCGGGUAAUGGUCCAUCCUUGCCUCCCCGGGGAGACCUGUGUCUUCACCUUGCCCCUCCCCUCGGCAGGUCCUCAACGCCUCUUGCGAGACUGCUGAAAACGCUGAGAUGAUUUUCCGAGGCUCGCUGCUUCUCUUUUUCAGUCUCCACUCCUCAUAUACCCCCAACUCAGGAAAUGCCUGAAGGGAAAUCCAACCAUGUGAUGGAGGCCCCCCAUGUCUCUGAGAAAUUCUCUGGUAUCUCUGUCCCCAGACGCCCACCUUCUGCCACGACCCAGAAUGGGCGAAUGUCCUGGGGGCAGCUGCUGGUCAGCUUCCUCCCUGAGGAUCCACUCACUCCAGUGUGAGCGGCUUGGGUCCUGCUGCCCCAGCAGCUCUCCAGUGCCUCCAAACAGAGAUCUCUACAUUUAAUGGGACCUUGCCUGCUUUGCUGGACAGAAGUGCUGGUCUGCGACAGGGAACAUCCCUCUCGGGAUUUUGGCUCAAGGGAAAAAGAGAAACAGCCACGCAGAACAGAGGAGGGCCCCAAACCCGAGAGGACAGGCUACCGGAGGAGGUCUUCAACAGUGCUGCACUGCAAGAGCCAGAACAGGCUUCCUGAAGCCGGGCCCACACUGCGUCCUCGUGGUUUUAUAGCUGAGAAAACUGAACAGGGAGCAGCUAGCAGUUUGGGCCAGUGCCACAGCAAGGCAGCAAGAAAGCUGGAAUCCAACGGAAACGUCUCACACUCGACGGUGGACUUUCUGUA